CGCUGUCGGCGUGCUUAACACAUGCAAGUCGAACGGAAAGGCCCUGCUUUUGUGGGGUGCUCGAGUGGCGAACGGGUGAGUAACGCGUGAGUAACCUGCCCUUGACUUUGGGAUAACUUCAGGAAACUGGGGCUAAUACCGGAUAGGAGCUCCUGCUGCAUGGUGGGGGUUGGAAAGUUUCGGCGGUUGGGGAUGGACUCGCGGCUUAUCAGCUUGUUGGUGGGGUAGUGGCUUACCAAGGCUUUGACGGGUAGCCGGCCUGAGAGGGUGACCGGCCACAUUGGGACUGAGAUACGGCCCAGACUCCUACGGGAGGCAGCAGUGGGGAAUAUUGCACAAUGGGCGGAAGCCUGAUGCAGCAACGCCGCGUGCGGGAUGACGGCCUUCGGGUUGUAAACCGCUUUCGCCUGUGACGAAGCGUGAGUGACGGUAAUGGGUAAAGAAGCACCGGCUAACUACGUGCCAGCAGCCGCGGUGAUACGUAGGGUGCGAGCGUUGUCCGGAUUUAUUGGGCGUAAAGGGCUCGUAGGUGGUUGAUCGCGUCGGAAGUGUAAUCUUGGGGCUUAACCCUGAGCGUGCUUUCGAUACGGGUUGACUUGAGGAAGGUAGGGGAGAAUGGAAUUCCUGGUGGAGCGGUGGAAUGCGCAGAUAUCAGGAGGAACACCAGUGGCGAAGGCGGUUCUCUGGGCCUUUCCUGACGCUGAGGAGCGAAAGCGUGGGGAGCGAACAGGCUUAGAUACCCUGGUAGUCCACGCUGUAAACGGUGGGUACUAGGUGUGGGGUCCAUUCCACGGGUUCCGUGCCGUAGCUAACGCUUUAAGUACCCCGCCUGGGGAGUACGGCCGCAAGGCUAAAACUCAAAGGAAUUGACGGGGCCCCGCACAAGCGGCGGAGCAUGCGGAUUAAUUCGAUGCAACGCGUAGAACCUUACCUGGGUUUGACAUGGAUCGGGAGUGCUCAGAGAUGGGUGUGCCUCUUUUGGGGUCGGUUCACAGGUGGUGCAUGGCUGUCGUCAGCUCGUGUCGUGAGAUGUUGGGUUAAGUUCCGCAACGAGCGCAACCCUUGUUCACUGUUGCCAGCACGUUAUGGUGGGGACUCAGUGGAGACCGCCGGGGUCAACUCGGAGGAAGGUGGGGAUGACGUCAAGUCAUCAUGCCCCUUAUGUCCAGGGCUUCACGCAUGCUACAAUGGCUGGUACAGAGAGUGGCGAGCCUGUGAGGGUGAGCGAAUCUCGGAAAGCCGGUCCCAGUUCGGAUUGGGGUCUGCAACUCGACCUCAUGAAGUCGGAGUCGCUAGUAAUCGCAGAUCAGCAACGCUGCGGUGAAUACGUUCCCGGGGCUUGUACACACCGCCCGUCAAGUCAUGAAAGUUGGUAACACCCGAAGCCGGUGGCCUAACCGUUGUGGGGGAGCCGUCGAAGGUGGGACUGGUGAUUAGGA
rnacentral:rRNA from 1 species